GAGGGAAUGCGCCUGCGCAGGACGUAGUCCUUCGGGUGAGGGCGGGAGCGUUAAGCUCCGCGCUAGCGGGCUGGUAGUCGUUCCCGAAAAUGGGAGGUCUGUGGCUUUCGGGCACUCCGGAGAGUGUAUCUUGGUGUGUUCCUCUGUGGGUUAAUCCUGUAUGGGACUCUCUGCACUUCCUGGACUUGGGUGACUGUUUCCUUUCCCAGGAACUUCCCUAUAAAGAAGGAAGUGUCCCCUGCAUUGGCAGGCACAGUGGUUAAGAAUCUGCCUGCCAAUGCAGGGGACAUUGGUUCGAGCCCUGGUCCAGGAAGAUCCCACAUGCCACGGAACAACUAAGCCCGUGCGCCACAACUACUGAGCCUGUGCUCUAGAGCCUGUGAGCCACAACUACUGAGCCCGCAAGCCACAGCUACUGAAGCCCACGCACCUAGAGCCCAUGCUCCGCAACAAGAGAAGCCACCACAAUGAGAAGCCCACGCACCGCAACAAAGAGUAGCCCCCACUCGACACAACUAGAGAAAGCCAGCAUGCAGCAACGAAGACCCAACACAACCAAAAGUAAAUAAAUAAAUAAAAUUGAAAAUAAUAAUAAUAAAACUUCUUUAUACAAUGGAAUACUACUCAGCCAUAAAAAAUAAUGAAAUAAUGCCAUUUGCAGCAACAUGGAUGGACUGAGAGAUUAUCAUACUAAGUGAAGGAAGUCAAAAAGAAAGCCAAAAAAAAAAAAAGAAAAAAGAAAGCCAAAUACCAUAUGAUAUCACUUAUAUGUGGAAUCUAAAAUAUUACAUAAAUGAACUUAUCCACAAAGUAGAAACAGACUCACAGACAUAGAGAACAGAUUUGUGGUUGCCAAGGGGGAGGGUGUAUGGGGGAGGGAUGGAAUUAGCACAUGCAAACUAUUAUAUAUAGAAUGGAUGAACAACAAGGUCUGUAUAGCACAGGGAACUAUAUUCAAUAUCCUGUAAUAAAACAUAAUGGAAAAGAAUUUAAAAAAAAAAA